UCACACUCUGAUAGGUGAGAUCCUGUGAAGCUAGCAGGUGGUACAGCCUGUGAAGAAGUUCAUAGAGACACUCAGCACUUCUAAACCCACCAGUCUGAGAAGACAAAGACCCCAUCACACUCUCUCAAACACGUUCUCAGACACGCUCUUUGACAACAUGGCUGCCACAUCUCUCCUGCUCCUGUUCAUCACUCUCCUGCCUGCUCCAGGGCUCACAGCUUGUUAAAACUACCCUGAAGAGUGAAGCUGUGCAGCAGAUCCCUCUAAGAAAGACCAGGACAUCAAGGCCAAAUCCUUCUGUACGGUGAAUGCCACCAAAAUAGGGGGCUCUGCAAACCCACACCUUCGGGAGGUGAAUGUCACUGAUGUAGACAGAAGUUCCUGCCAGAGACCUUAGACAGGGUUGUGGUGCCAGUUUUCCCCUAUGAUAUGUGCCAGGUGGUACACCUGCUGAUUACAAAGGUGUUUGCAAGGGAGAUUCAGGAGGUCUUCUGGUGUGUAAGGGGACAGCAGUAGGAGUUGUGUCAUUCAACCAGCAAGGAAACUGCAAUGAGCCACAGAAGCCCAACGUCUACACCAAAAUAUCCAAGUAUCUUUCCUGGAUCAUUAAGUAGGAAUGAAACAACCUAAGUUUUAUUUCCAAAACACUUGUGUGUAAAAAAUGUUCUCAGAUUUUUAAUUCAUAGAUUUCAGAUGUGCAUGAAAGUUUUGUUGCAAAUAUAUAUAUAGCUGGAAUGGAAUGUUUAUCCUGUAUGUUUGACUGUGAUGUGUGGUUGUUUCAGCUAGCUAUUUUAAGAUGAAUUAACUUGCUAUUAUCCAGAGCGACUUACAGUAUCUGCUUAAUGACUAAAAUGUCACAUGUAAAUGUUUUACAUACAGAUCUCAUAUUACUGUAGUGAAUUAUUUAUAUAUAUAUAUAUAUAAUACAGACCAUGUAUGUUGCCACAAAUCUAAUGUUUGUAUAUUUCUUUAAUUGUUUUUAUUUCUUACAUUUGACUGCGUAAAACCUAGCAGUACUACUUAUUUCUGAGAGAGGCAGAUGUAUAGCAUUUAAAUCAAAGUUUAUUUGUCACGUGCGCCGACUACAACA